rnacentral:rRNA from 1 species
AUUGAACGCUGGCGGCAGGCCUAACACAUGCAAGUCGAGCGAGCGGCGGACGGGUGAGUAAUGUCUGGGAAACUGCCUGAGGGAGGGGGAGAACAACUGGAGACGGGAGAUAAUACCGCAUACGAUCAGAUGUGCCCAGAUGGGAUUAGCUAGUAGGUGGGGGAAAGGCUCACUUAGGCGACGCUCCCUAGCUGGUCUGAGAGGAUGACCAGCCACACUGGAACUGCGCCACGGUCCAGACUCCUACGGGAGGCAGCAGUGGGGAAUAUUGCACAAUGGGCGCAAGCCUGAUGCAGCCAUGCCGCGUGUGUGAAGAAGGCCUUCGGGUUGUAAAGCACUUUCAGCGGGGAGGCGUUACCCGCAGAAGAAGCACCGGCUAACUCCGUGCCAGCAGCCGCGGUAAUAC